rnacentral:rRNA from 1 species
GCCCGCUGUUUGCGAUAUACUUGUGGAGCGGUCAAGCGAAAGCGUAAGCAUCCCACUGGGGGAGUACGCGGCAACGGUGAAACUCAAAGGAAUUGACGGGGGCCCGCACAAGCGGAGGGAACAUGUGGUUUAAUUCGAUGAUACGCGAGGAACCUUUACCCGGGCUUGAACUGCAGGAGAACGAUUCAGAGAUGAUGAGGUCCUUUCGGGACUCCUGUGGAGGUGCUGCAUGGUUGUCGUCAGCUCGUGCCGUGAGGUGUCGGCUUAAGUGCCAUAACGAGCGCAACCCUUUUCAUUAGUUGCCAUCAGGUCAUGCUGGGCACUCUGGUGAUACUGCCACCGUAAGGUGUGAGGAAGGUGGGGAUGACGUCAAAUCAGCACGGCCCUUACGUCCGGGGCUACACACGUGUUACAAUGGGUGGUACAGAGAGUCAAUGCAACGCAAGUUGUGUUCAAUCAAUAAAGCCAUCCUCAGUUCGGAUUGGGGUCUGCAACCCGACCCCAUGAAGCUGGAUUCGCUAGUAAUCGCGCAUCAGCCAUGGCGCGGUGAAUACGUUCCCGGGCCUUGUACACACCGCCCGUCAAGCCAUGAAAGCCGGGGGCGCUUGAAGUCCGUGACCGCAAGGAUCGGCCUAGAGCGAAACUGGUAAUUGGGGCUAAGUCGUAACAAGGUAGCCGUA